rnacentral:rRNA from 1 species
UACGGGGGGGGCAAGCGUUGUUCGGAAUUACUGGGCGUAAAGGGCUCGUAGGCGGCCAACUAAGUCAGACGUGAAAUCCCUCGGCUUAACCGGGGAACUGCGUCUGAUACUGGAUGGCUCGAGUUUGGGAGAGGGAUGCGGAAUUCCAGGUGUAGCGGUGAAAUGCGUAGAUAUCUGGAGGAACACCGGUGGCGAAGGCAGCCCCCUGGGCCAAUACUGACGCUCAUGCACGAAAGCGUGGGGAGCAAACAGG